rnacentral:rRNA from 1 species
GGGCCCGCACAAGCGGUGGAGUAUGUGGUUUAAUUCGACGCAACGCGAAGAACCUUACCAGGGCUUGACAUUGAGUGAAAGUUCUAGAGAUAGAACGCUCUCUUCGGAGACACGAAAACAGGUGGUGCAUGGUUGUCGUCAGCUCGUGUCGUGAGAUGUUGGGUUAAGUCCCGCAACGAGCGCAACCCUUAUUCUUUGUUGCCAGCACGUGAUGGUGGGAACUCAAAGAAGACUGCCGCAGACAAUGCGGAGGAAGGCGGGGAUGACGUCAAAUCAUCAUGCCCCUUAUGUCCUGGGCAACACACGUACUACAAUGGGCUUAAACAGAGGGAAGCGAAGCCGCGAGGCAGAGCAAAUCCCAGAAACAAGCUCUCAGUUCGGAUCGCAGGCUGCAACUCGCCUGCGUGAAGUCGGAAUCGCUAGUAAUCGCAGGUCAGCAUACUGCGGUGAAUACGUUCCCGGGCCUU